CAGCCGCCACGGUAACACGAAGGGGGCUAGCGUUGCUCGGAAUGACUGGGCGUAAAGGGCGCGUAGGCGGUUCGUACAGUUGGAUGUGAAAUUCCUGGGCUUAACCUGGGGGCUGCAUUCAAUACGUGCGGGCUUGAGUGUGGAAGAGGGUUGUGGAAUUCCCAGUGUAGAGGUGAAAUUCGUAGAUAUUGGGAAGAACACCGGUGGCGAAGGCGGCAACCUGGUCCAUAACUGACGCUGAGGCGCGAAAGCGUGGGGAGCAAACAGGAUUAGAUACCCCCGUAGUCCCUGUCUCUUAUAC
rnacentral:rRNA from 1 species